rnacentral:tRNA from 1 species
GCCUUCAUAGCUCAGGAGGUAGAGCGCGUCCUUGGUAAGGACGAGGUCAGCAGUUCAAAUCUGCUUGAAGGCUCCA